rnacentral:rRNA from 1 species
AUUGAACGCUGGCGGCAGGCCUAACACAUGCAAGUCGAGCGGAUGAAGGGAGCUUGCUCCUGGAUUCAGCGGCGGACGGGUGAGUAAUGCCUAGGAAUCUGCCUGGUAGUGGGGGAUAACGUCCGGAAACGGGCGCUAAUACCGCAUACGUCCUGAGGGAGAAAUUGGGGGAUCUUCGGACCUCACGCUAUCAGAUGAGCCUAGGUCGGAUUAGCUAGUUGGUGGGGUAAAGGCCUACCAAGCCGACGAUCCGUAACUGGUCUGAGAGGAUGAUCAGUCACACUGGAACUGAGACACGGUCCAGACUCCUACGGGAGGCAGCAGUGGGGAAUAUUGGACAAUGGGCGAAAGCCUGAUCCAGCCAUGCCGCGUGUGUGAAGAAGGUCUUCGGAUUGUAAAGCACUUUAAGUUGGGAGGAAGGGCAGUAAGUUAAUACCUGGCUGUUUUGACGUUACCAACAGAAUAAGCACCGGCUAACUUCGUG